AUUGAGGUCUAUCCCGAUGGGGCUUUUUCUAUAAACCUACGUCGUUGGAAACGCCUCAUAGAGUAACUAUGUAGUUUCCUUUACUCAUAGAACUACCUGUUAGAUCUGUGGGAAAAAACUACAAGACAAAG
ensembl:snoRNA